UACGUAGGGACCAAGCGUUGUUCGGAUUUACUGGGCGUAAAGAGCGCGCAGGCGGUCGUCCAAGUCGCGUGUGAAAGCCCCCGGCUCAACUGGGGAGGGUCACGCGAUACUGGUCGACUCGAAGGCAGGAGAGGGUAGUGGAAUUCCCGGUGUAGUGGUGAAAUGCGUAGAUAUCGGGAGGAACACCAGUGGCGAAGGCGACUACCUGGCCUGUUCUUGACGCUGAGGCGCGAAAGCUAGGGGAGCGAACGGG
rnacentral:rRNA from 1 species